CCCGAAAGCCUGAAAAGGAGGUGGGAUGAGAAGCUCAGUGUGUCCUGGAAGGAGCAGCUUGGGACCAACUCAGUGUAGGUAUGAGACCUCACACCAGCACUCGCCAGCUCUGUGUCUUUAGUGCAGCCUCCUCUUUAGUAAGGCUGGAACAUCAGUGCCUCCCUGAAAUGAACCGUCAGGAGACGUUAGCUAGCGCUCUCUUUCCUAGGCAGAACCCGGAGCUCCCCAACGUUGAGGACGGGUUAAGAACAAAUAUCCAUCCCAGGAGUGUGUAGUUGUAUAUGGGGCCGAUGGCUUUAGGGAUUUUCAUGCACUAAUUCCCAAAUCUUUCUCUCACUGUAAAUAUCCUCCUCCUCCCCCGCACAGAUGGCUGAUGACCUGGAGGACUUCCCCACCCCAACAGCAACCCAGCUGUUCUGGGCCAACAUCGCCACCUGGUGGGCAGGGUGGAGAAUUGCCCCACUCGCCUGACCUCACCUCUUUGUUUUCCUGCUUGAAAAUUAAAAAUAUAUAACCUGUUUGACCCCCGAUACCUUCUCUAUCCCAGUUUGUGUUCCCAGUAACCUGAGGAAAAUGUAAAUGUGCUUGUAAAUCAUUCCUUUGUCA